rnacentral:rRNA from 1 species
AGUGAACGCUGGCGGUAGGCCUAACACAUGCAAGUCGAACGGCAGCACAGUAAGAGCUUGCUCUUACGGGUGGCGAGUGGCGGACGGGUGAGGAAUACAUCGGAAUCUACUUUUUCGUGGGGGAUAACGUAGGGAAACUUACGCUAAUACCGCAUACGACCUACGGGUGAAAGCAGGGGAUCUUCGGACCUUGCGCGAUUGAAUGAGCCGAUGUCGGAUUAGCUGGUUGGCGGGGUAAAGGCCCACCAAGGCGACGAUCCGUAGCUGGUCUGAGAGGAUGAUCAGCCACACUGGAACUGAGACACGGUCCAGACUCCUACGGGAGGCAGCAGUGGGGAAUAUUGGACAAUGGGCGCAAGCCUGAUCCAGCCAUACCGCGUGGGUGAAGAAGGCCUGCGGGUUGUAAAGCCCUUUUGUUGGGAAAGAAAAGCAGCAGGUUAAUACCCCGCUGUUCUGACGGUACCCAAAGAAUAAGCACCGGCUAACUUCGU